UACAGAGGGUGCGAGCGUUAAUCGGAAUUACUGGGCGUAAAGCGUGCGUAGACGGUUAUCUAAGUCGGAUGUGAAAGCCCCGGGCUCAACCUGGGAAUUGCAUUCGAGACUGAAUAGCUAGGGUGCGGUAGAGGGAAGCGGAAUUUCCGGUGUAGCGGUGAAAUGCGUAGAUAUCGGAAGGAACACCAGUGGCGAAAAGCGGCAUCCUCGGACCGGGCAUUGACGCUGAGGCGGCGAAAGCCAGGGGAGCAAACGGG
rnacentral:rRNA from 1 species